rnacentral:rRNA from 1 species
GAUGAACGCUGGCGGCAUGCCUAACACAUGCAAGUCGAUCGGUAAGGCUCUUCGGAGUACACGAGAGGCGGACGGCUGAGUAACGCGUAGGAACACACCCUGCAGUGAGGGAUAAGACACCGAAAGGUGUUCUGAUACCGCAUACGGUCUUCGGAUUAAAGCAUUUAUGCGCUGAAGGAGUGGCCUGCGUCAUAUUAGAUAGUUGGUGAGGUAAUGGCUCACCAAGUCGAUGAUGUGUAGCUGGUCUGAGAGGAUGAUCAGCCAGACUGGAACUGAGACACGGUCCAGACUCCUACGGGAGGCAGCAGUGAGGAAUAUUUCACAAUGAGCGAAAGCUUGAUGGAGCAAUGCCGCGUGCAGGAUGAAGGCCCUCGGGUUGUAAACUGCUUUUAUAAGAGAAGAUUAUGACGGUAACUUAUGAAUAAGGGACGGCUAACUACGUG